ACUUGCCUAGCUAAGGUGUUAAUAUCCUGUUUGGUAUAAAUAAUGUUUUACAUCAUGUAAUAAAGAACCAGAGAAGGGAUAUGGUUGUGAAACACUAAGCAAAGAGAAGAGACACAAAGCAUUUUUGCUGCCAUGAAUUGGCGUAAUGUUUAUUUAAAGUAUUAAAAUAUACCUCCUGGCACCAAAGUAGAAAGUGCUCUUUUUAGAAUGUAUAAAAUCUGUAAUCUGUUAGAUGAGACCAGUUUGCUGCUUUUUUGGCAUUUAAUCACAAAAUUAAAUCAUAUGCACAUUUCUUAGACUCGCAAGAUAAAUGAUGUAAUAACCCUUUGGAGUUUCUUCAGAACCUUACAUGCACAUCUUGUUUUGCUUUUUUUUUUUUGUUUUUUUUUUACUUGAAAUGGUGGGGAAAUUCUAUUAAGAUGCUUGCAGCAGUUCCUCUACACUCCCAUCUUUUUUUUUUGUUGUACUGUACUUAAUAUAAAAACAACAAGUUAUGAAAUAUGUAUAUAUGUAUGUUUUGUAAAAAAAAAAAAAAAAAAAAAAAAAAAGCAAAUUUAAGCUUUAAUUGUUGUCAUUUUUCAUGGAACUGGCAAGGUGCUUACAUCCUUGGCACAUUUUUUUCCAUACAAUUGCUGCAUUUACGUUCCAGAAUGUUCCAUCUAAAAUGGGUCACCCCUUGUGGCGUGUUUUUGAAGUGGGUUACAAAUGAAAGAGUUUGGAGUGGCAGUGUGAAAAAGCCAAGGACUGGUGGAACAUGGAGACUAAAUUCUCCCCUGGAAAAUACAGGUCAAAGUGAGUCAACCCACAUCCUGAGGUGGGUUUCUGCAACCCAGGUUAACCCGGUUACGACCCAGGUACAUGGUUUCACACUACAUGUGAUUGUGACCCGGGUAGCCAGAACUCCGAUUGGGAUCCAGAGGCCAAUUUGAGGGGCCUGGAGAGUAAACUGCUCCCUCCCACCCCAAGACGACGGUUCCUACAGGACAUGCUUGAGACAUGCUUGCAGGAUAGUGUGGGGAAGCUCACAUUGUCAUUGAUUUUGCUUUAAAUAAAGAGAAUUUAAGUCCCGUGCAUUUCUAAUCGAGCAGAUUUCUAGAGCACUGUUCAGCACAAAAUGACUCAAAUGAAUAUAUAAAUAAUAAAUAUAUGAAUUGAUAACUUGACGAAUGCCAUAAAUCUUCCAGACUCAGCAGGGUAGCUGUUAGGUAAAUGUUCUUGUUUAUUAAAACAUGUGUAAGCAGAGCAUCUAUUACAGUAGAUCAUUUGUUAGCUAUAAUGAUAAGAUGAA